rnacentral:rRNA from 1 species
UACGUAGGGUGCAAGCGUUUGUCCGGAAUUAUUGGGCGUAAAGAGCUCGUAGGCGGUUUGUCGCGUCUGCUGUGAAAACUCAGGGCUUAACUCUGAGCUUGCAGUGGGUACGGGCAGACUAGAGUGCGGUAGGGGAGACUGGAAUUCCUGGUGUAGCGGUGAAAUGCGCAGAUAUCAGGGAGGGAACACCGGUGGCGAAGGCGGGUCUCUGGGCCGUAACUGACGCUGGAGGAGCGAAAGCGUGGGGAGCAAACAGG